ensembl:lncRNA novel transcript
GUUCUCCUAGAUCCAUGCUCGCACUGAGGUGAGAAAUGAGAAGCCAGGGCCGGGAGCCUCCUGGGGGUUGGCUGCCAACGCCAGGCAGGCGGGGAAUGGUGAUUUUCGCUUGUAUCGUGGAGGAUGCCACGCACAGACGUGAAUAGAAAGAGCCUGGACCGUGUCCUGAGGUCAGCGACUGAGGUCCUGGGUGGGGCCAGCCAGGACCUGCCCGGGGGCUACUGCCCUCUGAAUCAAUACCUCCAGGGACCCUACGUUGACACCCAUGGCCUCCCACUCUCCACCCCUCAGUCCUGCGUGCGGCACGUAGUGCUCACUGGGCGUCUGUGUAGGGGGUUGAAGGCUGAGGCUGGAACAAGGGCGUGGCGGUCGCAGGCUCCAGGGCACGACGGUCCUUCCUCUUCCCCUUCUCAGCCACAUCUGGGGCUCCGUCCCUGCAGCCAAGGCUCCCUGGCGCUGUCCUUGGUGCUGACGCGGUUCUGGAAGUGCGGUGCCAGGGUGGCUGGUGCGGCUCCCGAUGGAAAAGCCCCACCAACCCCACAAAGCAGACUCGGGAGAGAACACGCCACCGUCUUUAGCGAAUCUUACCAACCCAGGGCCAAAGCGCCCUGCACCCCAGAGCAGCACUCGUGGUGGGAACACAGGCUGAUGUAAUAAACAGAAAAGUGACUGCGGGGGAUGGGGAAGGCGGGAUGUCCUUAGCGUCCCAUGGAAAAAACAUAUUUCCUCCAGAUGGGAUCAUCGAUAA